rnacentral:rRNA from 1 species
CCCAACUGCGGGCCAGCGGCGGAGAGAACAGGUAGGGUGAUAGCUGUGUCCGGAUUUAUUGGGCGUAAAGGGCUAGUAGGCGGCUUAGCAAGUCGGGUGUGAAAACUGCAGGCUUAACCUGGAGCGGCCACUCGAUACUGCGAUGGCUAGAGUCCGGUAGGGGACCACGGAAUUCCUGGUGUAGCGGUGAAAUGCGCAGAUAUCAGGAGGAACACCGAUGGCGAAGGCAGUGGUCUGGGCCGGCACUGACGCUGAAUAGCGAAAGCGUGGGGAGCGAACAGGAUUAGAUACCCUGGUAGUC